AUAAUGGCAAAAUCUAAAAUUAAAAACAGAUAUAAAUAUAUGGGAUAUAUUCAUAAUGGAUUUCUUUUACUGAUUGUUACUAUAGAAAAAAACAUGUAUACAUGAUAUAUUCAGAUGAUGUAUGGAGUAUUGAAGCAAUCCCAGGGAACUCUCAAGCAACCAAAGUGUAUACAAAUACAUAUAGAAAAGACAUUUACAAAAAAGGCUAUCCUAUAAUAAUUACAAAAAAAUGGGCCAAAUCAAAAUCUAAAUUCAAGCCAUUUGGACGAAGAGAAUCCAUCUUAAAAAUCCAUUGGCUUUCUAUUCUACUGAGUUCUCUGAGGUUGUUCUCACCCCUCCAAUUAUGUCCCUUCUGACAAAAAGCCAUAAAGCCCAAAAGAGAAGGGUCUUUAUUGUGGAAUUCUAGAAAGUGAGCAGACACACUAUGUUUAGUGUACCCCCUCUGGAUAUUCCCCAUGUGUUCCAGUAUGCGUAUCUUCAGUUUUCUAGUGGCCAUACCCACAUACUGUAGACACAGGGGCACCAGAGGAGGUACACAACAUUCGAAGAAUGGCAAGUAAGAACAUCCUUCAUUAUAAAUCGUGUUUUAGUAGCAUAGGAUAUAAAAUCCACCAAUUUGGAUUUAUUAAGACUACUUCUCUUACACGCCAGACAGAUUUUGCAAGGAUAAAAACCUUUUUGGAGUUUAAACAUAUUUUUCGUGGGCGGGUCUUUUAUAAAGCUGGUUUUUGAUAUUCUUUGCCCCCCUAAAAAUCUUUGUCUGUCUUAAGUACAUGCCAAUGUUGAUUAAUUAUGUGUUUAAUUUGUUGGUAAUUAGCGCUAUAGUCUAAAAUUAUUGGGACCCAUUUUUGGUUGGAACUAUGUUCCGUAUUAUUAUUAUUACUAUUAUUGUUUGUGUUUUUAUUUUGAAGGAGGUCUUCCCUAUUUAGGGACCGUACUAGUACUCUUUGUUUUUCCAAUUCUUGUAAUUCAUAAUUUUUCGCUUUAACCCCUUAAGGACACAUGACAUGUGUGACAUGUCAUGAUUUCCUUUUAUUCCAGAAGUUUGGUCCUUAAGGGGUUAAAAAAACUGUUAAGACAUCAGCUUGGGAUUCAUAUUGCUCAGGAUCACUACAAUACCUAAG